rnacentral:lncRNA from 1 species
GAACCACGAUAAUAUUGCCACUGGAGCAAAGAUAAUGAUGCCCAUCCCAGCAUCAUACAUUCUAGCAAAUUCCUUUACUGAUUCCCACAGACCCAAACUCCACACUACCCUCCUCCAUGUGAUUGCCAGCUGCAAGGAAAAUUACAAUUUGCAACUUUAAGAACAAAAAGAGAAUCUGUAAAUGUAAAACAUACUCAUGUAUUAUCCUACAAAACAGUCACAAUCACAUAAAGGAUAUCGUUAGCUACUUUGUCGCCAGGAUACAAAAAAUUUAGCAUAUAGAAGGAUGGCAACACUUGAGAUAAAAAACGGAGAGUGUGGCGGGUAGGAGGUGGAACCAGGUUUUGCAAUGACUGCAAUAUGAAUUCAUGUAUGAUGUAACGGCCAAAAACUGAAAAAUUACAACCUCACAUGCGAAUAUAAGCUAGGAAAAAUCUUAAAAAGGGCCAUCGAAUUCAACGAAAGACUUAGUUUUACACUCCAACAGGAUGAUAGUGGGAAUUCACAACUGCAGAUAUGAGUUCAAGCAUGCUACAAUAAUUUUGAAAUAAACUAUUCCGACCUGCCAAUAGUAACUAAAGAAGAUACUUUUUAACACCACACAGAAACAACUAAAGAUGAGAAGGAAUCUUCUCCACAGUAAGUUGUGGAAAUUGUCGUAAGAAAAUCAAAAAGCUUUUCAGACAGCACAAAGAAUUCAAAAGCAACCAUGAGCUAGCAAACUUACACAAAGGACAGCCCAACCAGUAGCAAUAAAGGCGAGCACACUAGCAAACAAAUCAGGAACAGAAAGGUCAGUAAGAGCCACAACAAGGCAAAGAGCUGCAACAAGUCCCAAAGCUGUAACUCCUUGAAAAAAUCGCAGCAUGAGAUGGAUGUUGGUGGACUUUUUAGGACUGAAGGUAAAGAUCUGCAAUUUGACAAAUGCCAAGAUUGUUAACAAAGUUAGCUUUUUAGGACUGAAGGUAAAGAUCUGCAAUUUGACAAAUUCCAAGAUUGUUAACAAAGUAAGGGGGAUUGCAAUUACAUUAGACUCCAUAAGUAAGCCCAUAACAUCCAAGAUUGUUAACAAAGUAAGGGGGAUU